rnacentral:rRNA from 1 species
AGAUUGAACGCUGGCGGCAGGCCUAACACAUGCAAGUCGAGCGGCAGCACGGGUACUUGUACCUGGUGGCGAGCGGCGGACGGGUGAGUAAUGCCUAGGAAUCUGCCUGGUAGUGGGGGAUAACGCUCGGAAACGGACGCUAAUACCGCAUACGUCCUACGGGAGAAAGCAGGGGACCUUCGGGCCUUGCGCUAUCAGAUGACGCCUAGGU